rnacentral:rRNA from 1 species
GAUGAACGCUGGCGGCGUGCCUAAUACAUGCAAGUCGAGCGAACAGACGAGGAGCUUGCUCCUCUGACGUUAGCGGCGGACGGGUGAGUAACACGUGGAUAACCUACCUAUAAGACUGGGAUAACUUCGGGAAACCGGAUCUAAUACCGGAUAAUAUAUUGAACCGCAUGGUUCAAUAGUGAAAGACGGUUUUGCUGUCACUUAUAGAUGGAUCCGCGCCGCAUUAGCUAGUUGGUAAGGUAACGGCUUACCAAGGCAACGAUGCGUAGCCGACCUGAGAGGGUGAUCGGCCACACUGGAACUGAGACACGGUCCAGACUCCUACGGGAGGCAGCAGUAGGGAAUCUUCCGCAAUGGGCGAAAGCCUGACGGAGCAACGCCGCGUGAGUGAUGAAGGUCUUCGGAUCGUAGAACUCUGUUAUUAGGGAAGAACAAAUGUGUAAGUAACUAUGCACGUCUUGACGGUACCUAAUCAGAAAGCCACGGCUAACUACGUG